CCUACGGGAGGCAGCAGUGGGGAAUCUUGCGCAAUGGGCGAAAGCCUGACGCAGCCAUGCCGCAUGAAUGAUGAAGGUCUUAGGAUUGUAAAAUUCUUUCACCGGGGACGAUAAUGACGGUACCCGGAGAAGAAGCCCCGGCUAACUUCGUGCCAGCAGCCGCGGUAAUACGAAGGGGGCUAGCGUUGCUCGGAAUUACUGGGCGUAAAGGGAGCGUAGGCGGAUAGUUUAGUCAGAGGUGAAAGCCCAGGGCUCAACCUUGGAAUUGCCUUUGAUACUGGCUAUCUUGAGUGUGGGAGAGGUAUGUGGAACUCCGAGUGUAGAGGUGAAAUUCGUAGAUAUUCGGAAGAACACCAGUGGCGAAGGCGACAUACUGGCCCAUUACUGACGCUGAGGCUCGAAAGCGUGGGGAGCAAACAGGAUUAGAUACCCUGGUAGUCCACGCUGUAAACGAUGAGUGCUAGUUGUCGGCAUGCAUGCAUGUCGGUGACGCAGCUAACGCAUUAAGCACUCCGCCUGGGGAGUACGGUCGCAAGAUUAAAACUCAAAGGAAUUGACGG
rnacentral:rRNA from 1 species